CGGAGAGGGAGCAUGAGAGAUGGCUACCACUUCCAAGGAAGGCAGCAGGCGCGCAAAUUACCCAAUGCAAAUACUGUGAGGUAGUGACAAUAAAUACUGACCCGCGUCUCAUAUGAGGUGUGGAAUCGGAAUGAGUACAAUGUAAAUAGCUUAACGAGGAACGAUUGGAGGACAAGUCUGGUGCCAGCACCCGCGGUAAUUCCAGCUCCAAUAGCGUAUAUUAAAGUUGUUGCAGUUAAAAAGCUCGUAGUCGGAUUCUUGGUUGCUUUCUUAGAUGAUAUGUGGUUACUUUUCGCAUAUUGUUUUUGAAAACAGCCAUUGUAAUAGAUCAGUCUAAAGCUUUCCUCCUUAACUGGGUUGGGGGCUUUUUGAUUUGAUCGAUUACCUUGAACAAAUUAGAGUGUUUAAAUCAGGCGUAACGUCUCGAAUAUAUUAGCAUGGGAUAAUACAACUGACUCAUUGAGUUAUGUUUUAUGGGGGUUUUAACUUAAGAGUAAUGUCAAUAGGGAUGUUCGGGGUCAUUCAUAUUCAGUGGUUAGAGGUGAAAUUCUUAGAUUCACUGAAGAUGCACUACUGCGAAAGCAUUUGACUAGGUCAUUCCCAUUGAUCAAGAACGAAAGUUAAGGGAUCGAAGACGAUCAGAUACCGUCGUAGUCUUAACUAUAAACUAUACGAAUCAAAGAUUGAAUAGUGUUAAUCGUACGACUAUCCAGUAUUUUGCGAGAAAUCAUUGAAUUCUUGCGUUCUGGGGGGAGUAUGGUCGCAAGGCUGAAACUUAAAGGAAUUGACGGAAGACUACACCAGGAGUGGAGCCUGCGGCUCAAUUGGACUCAACACGGGAAAACUUACAAGGUCAGAACAUGGUUAGGAUUGACAGAUUGAGAGAUCUUUCUUAAUUUCUAUGGGUGGUGGUGCAUGGUCGUUCUUAGUUCGUGAGGUGGCUUGUCAGGUUAAUUCCGUUAACGAACGAGAUCGCAACUUAUUAAUUGGCGUGUUUCUUAUUCUUCUAUACGGGUGAAGUAACUUGGCUUAGGUGGAUAGGGAAACCUACUUCAUCUGACUAGGUUAUGAAUCCUUGACGAAUAGAUACCGUCCGUUUAUUCGUACUAUCGGCGGAAAGCACGGAUGGAAGAUCUGCCAAUAACAGGUCAGUGAUGCCCUUAGAUGUCCUUGGCCGCACGCGCGCUACAAUGUCUAGUUCAACAAGUAUUUUUUAAAACUCUGACUCGAAAGGGUUGGAUAAUCUUAUGAAAACUCUAUCUGAUGGGGAUUGAUUAUUGAAAUUAUUGGUCAUGAACAAGGAAUUCGUAGUAAUUGCAAGUCAUCAACUUGCGAUGACUAUGUCCCUGGUCUAUGCACACACCGCCCGUAGAUCCUACCGAUUGAAUGAUAAGAUGAAAUUUAUGGAGUAAACCUUUUUUGGGGGAAAGUAGAGUAAAUCUUAGUGUUUAGAGGAAGGA
rnacentral:rRNA from 1 species